rnacentral:rRNA from 1 species
UACGGGGGGGGCAAGCGUUGUUCGGAAUUACUGGGCGUAAAGCGCGCGUAGGCGGCUGUCUAAGUCGGGUGUGAAAGCCCCGGGCUCAACCUGGGAACUGCAUUCGAUACUGGACGGCUAGAGUAUGAGAGAGGGAGGUAGAAUUCCACGUGUAGCGGUGAAAUGCGUAGAUAUGUGGAGGAAUACCGGUGGCGAAGGCGGCCUCCUGGUUCAAUACUGACGCUGAGGUGCGAAAGCGUGGGGAGCAAACAGG